AGUCACUGACAUUAGAUACCCGGGUAGUCCCAGCCGUAAACUAUGCGCGUUAGGUGUAUCGGUGACCACGAGUUACCGAGGUGCCGAAGGGAAACCGUGAAACGUGCCGCCUGGGAAGUACGGUCGCAAGGCUGAAACUUAAAGGAAUUGGCGGGGAGCACCACAACAGGUGGAGCCUGCGGUUUAAUUGGAUUCAACACCGUAAAACUCACCAGGGAAGACUGUUACAUGAAAGCCGAUUUGAAGACUCUGCUAGAUUUUCAG
rnacentral:rRNA from 1 species